rnacentral:lncRNA from 1 species
AUCUGGCACAGCCCAAAGUCUAUCGCAUAGAACAGUUUUAUAUCUGGUCACCAAGAUAUCAAUUCUAGCACAUGUGACUGACUUCAGUCACAAGAUUAGUCCAUGGGUGAGCUAAUAAAGAACAUAAGCAAUAUUUUUGAUGGCUCUUGACACAGUCCCAGUGGGGAGCCUUGUCUAAUUGUAUUGCCAAAAAAAAAAAAACAACAACCCUCCAUUGUUCACCUACCUUGAUUUUAGAAAUUUGCUUUGAAAGGAAAAAGGAGGGAUAUGGUAAGUAUCAAUACUAAUCCUUCAAGGGCACAAAGUGAUCUGACAUAUGUGAACUUUAAAUUACUCCACCAUACUUAGUCUAAGAAAAUCAGGAAUGUCUUAUGAACUUUAGAUUUUUCCACCCUAGUAAAGUCAAACAAAAUCAGGAAUGUCCAUACCCAUACUUAAGGAUAAAGUAUUUAGGAGGAUGGCCUUUGAUAGACAUGGGAAGAAACAGCUGACAGAUCCCUGGGCUGUCCUAAGUCAAGCUUAACCUACCAUUGGUAUAGAUGAGACACAGGAGAGUGAUGUAAACCCAUCUAUAUAUAGGGCACGUCACUUCCUCUCUUCGCUCUCUUUCCCCAGAGAGGUGGCUCUGGCUGGUCACUUCCUGUGAGUAGGCCUGGGUGCCAGUUCGAUCCUGGAACUUGAGCCUGGAGGAGCUCCUUCAGACAGCUUGCUUGAGAUGAUCAUGUGGUGUUUGAACUCAUUUGUGAAGUGUCCCGCUUCAGUUGGAGCCCUGCAGCAAGAUCUCGAACUCCAGGACCAGGAGGUAAGGACUUUGGAGAGGGCUUCUGUAAGUGUGUGUUUGUGUGUGUGUGCUUGCUUGGAGAAAAGUUCUCUAGGCCUGUGGCUAGGGUUUGCUAAGCCUGGGCCUGUGAAGGAGACUUGAACCCUUAUCCCCUUAGGGAGUGUUUCUAACUGCGGACUUGGAGAGUAUGCAGUUUCCAAAUCCCAAGAGGGACUGGGUCAGAAAUCCGAGGAAGUGAAUGGUGUCCUCUCCGAAGCCUGUCCCUGGUUCUGGUAUUUGAGACUUUGACCAAAAUUUAGGCUGAUUUUGGAACCAUCUGUCCCGUCCUGUCCUGUCCUGUCCUGUCCUGUCCUGUCCUGCCCUGCCCUGCCCUGUUCUGUUCUGUUUUGUUAAGUUAGCCCUGUUUCUCUAGAAUUCUGUUUUGUUCUGCCCCAUGGCCUGUUUUACUCUAGGAGUCUGCCUGCUUGAAGGUUCAGUCCUGAAGUUCUGUUUGGGCCCUAGAGUCCUGUUGGCCAUGGAGUUCUGUUCUGUUCUGUAAAUCCAGAUUCAGUAGAGGCUGUUGGGUUGCUGGACGCAGCUUAGUCCCACAGUCAGGUCACUAAAGAGACAUCUUUCAGUGAAUUCUGGGGAACCUUCGGGUUCAAAUGUGUAUGAAGGUGUGAGAGUGUG